CAGGAGGCUGUGAGGUUUGCACUCAGCUCCAUGAAGAGCAUCUCUAGGAUGAAGCUAGACCAAGAAAUAAAUUUGAGAAAUGCAUUGCUGAAGAAGUCAAAGGACCCAUAUUCCCAUCUUGUCCUGAGGCCCUGAAAGCUCUUAAUCAAGGAAUUAAUUUAAUUUUGAACUUUGCUGAUUGGCUGUUUUUACACAUGGCCAAUAUAGGCACUUCAGAGCUUUCAACUUUGCUGGAAAUAGAGCAGGACUGCUGGAAACUUGGAAGAUCUGUUUUCUUCUUCAAGAACCAUGAACCUAUUCUCCAAUGUGCUGUGCCGUUACUUGUAUGGAUCUACAGCAAGUGCAGUAGGCCUUCAGUCUGGAGUGACAGAAUUUUACCUGCCAUGUGUCAGAGCUGGUGCCCCAAAACAGGCAGGACUGUGAAGGAUCAGUCUCUUCAGUAUUAAUCUCUUGGGGUACCAUCCUGUUGCAACCACAAGUCAUGACCUACAGCUAGCAAAGCCGAAAUGACAGCGUGUCUUCCAUGCAAGAAGAGCCUGCAGAGUGAUUACAGUCAAGUUCUGGCUGGAGGCACCCUGGGGCUGGCUGCUGCUUUAUUUUGCUAAGUGGCAGGGACAGGAGACCCCAUUCACCGAUGAGAAAGCAUGCCUGUGUGUACGCUGCCCUCCCUGAAGGCAGUCAGAGGACGUGGCGGCGGAUGCAGAGCUCUUCCAGGAGGAAACUGCCAGCAGCUGUAGCCCGAGGGCAGUGGAUGCUUCUGUCCAUGACUCUGCUUUUUUCUCUUCUCCCCCUUUCAUGUCCUCCCCUUCUCUCCCACUCUUACCUGCACCUGCCAAAGCCAACAGCAUAAAGCCAGUAAGUGAAGUCCUGGGACAGAAGGCCUGUGUUUGGUACAUUGGGUCAUAUGAGGGAGAGGCUGAAGCUAGAGAAGAUGCCAUUCCCAUGUCAACUCCUCUGCACCCCGAGCAGCACAGCACGGAGCAGGCUGGCAGUUGCACCUGGCACAUGAGGAUUGCCAAGGAGGCAAGAUGCUGUGGCACUACUCUGCAAACUCAUGAGAUGCAGGACUCACCAAGGGACAGGAACUGUGCUGAGGUUCUUGGCCUGAGAUGCUGGACUACCAUCAAACUACCAUAAGUGCAUCUGAAGAACUGCACUAUGCAAUGCAGUAUACCCUGAAAGAUCAAGAUUCUCCAGCCCUUUACCCAGCAAGGUCCACAUCCUUGGCCUCAGCCCAGCAGCCAUGCAUUGCUCUGACUCCACAAAGCACCCAGAAGAUUGCUCCAAACAAGUGGCUGCAAACCUCUUGGCAUGGCCCAGGUGCUACACUGUCUUCUCCUUUGCAUAGACGGCAGGAGAGCAGCCAUCAUAAAUAUUCUCACCAGGGACCUUGUAGAGCCUCAGGAUCAGCAGACAUAAAGAGAGUGUCUUGAAUCAAAUCAGCAUCUCAUACAAGUGACAAAGAUAAAUCAACAACAGAAUCUGAUAGACUGUAAUAAUUGUCAAGCUCCUGCUUCAGAAACAAUCGCACAUCCUGCUUCCCACCACAAAACAGCCUGCCGGUGGCACAUGUAUAUUCUUUCCCAUUUUUCCAAAUUUUCAACAAUAUUCCUGCUUCCAACUAAAACUCCAUUAGUCUUCAAAAGCUAUUGCUGACUUGUGUGUUAUGACACAAUUUUCUGCUUACAACACAGUACGAGACGGCAAUGUUUCAAAGAUCACCGGGAUUGUUUACAAGUGUUAAGUGUCUGGGAAGAAGAGGAAGACAGAUCAAAAGUGAGACCUUUUUAUGUCUAGACAUUUCUGCAUGAAUAAACAUCGUUAUGGUGACGUGCACAUCUGCAUGAAGGGUAAAUUCCAUAUGAUUGUAUCCACACAGGGCAAAAUUCAUCUCGUCUGAACUUGUCCAAAGGUCUUUGCAUAGGUUUAACCUGUCUAAAUGCCAACAAGUACAACAAGCUUGUUUGGCUGCUCUUAGCAUGAAGGGAGAGCCUGGAAAACUUGAAACUAUUAAGAAUAUAAAUAAGAAUAAAAGAGGGAAAUGAGGGCAAAGCUUUCCAGUAAAAUAACAGGAAUCAUAACAAAAUGAAAAUACUGUUUUCAGUAGUAUUUUGUUGUUAUAUUUACUUGCCCUUAUGUUACACCCUCUCAUUGGUGCCAAAGCAGUAAAGCUGGGAAAACAUUCACAUUUUGAGUACAAUGGAAGGUUUUCACUCACGUGGUAAAAUAAGGUCUUUCAUCAUUGAUGUUAAUUAUAUUUAUAUUCACUGUUUUAGUCGAGUUGAGUCCUUCUGGAUCUGUCACUGUUACAUUUAAAAAGUAACUGUUAAAUAAGAAAACAAAACAAGAAUCAUUCUGUGGCUAUGUAGAAAAACAUUUCUCUGCCUACUGUAAGCUAAUAGACCACAAGAAUAAAAUACAUCCUCACCAAUGU